rnacentral:rRNA from 1 species
ACGGGUGAGUAACACGUAGGUAACCUACCCUUCAGUGGGGGACAACAGAGGGAAACUUCUGCUAAUACCGCAUACGAUCACGGACUGGGAUGUUCGUGGUGAAAGGAUUUAUUCGCUGAGGGAUGGGCCUGCGGCCUAUCAGGUAGUUGGUGGGGUAAUGGCCUACCAAGCCUGCGACGGGUAGCCGGACUGAGAGGUCGAUCGGCCACACUGGAACUGAGACACGGUCCAGACUCCUACGGGAGGCAGCAGUGGGGAAUAUUGCACAAUGGGGGAAACCCUGAUGCAGCGACGCCGCGUGGAGGAUGACGGCCUUCGGGUUGUAAACUCCUUUUGUCGGGGACAAUGGUGAUGGUACCCGACGAAUAAGCCACGGCUAACUCUGUGCCAGCAGCCGCGGUAAGACAGAGGUGGCGAGCGUUGUUCGGAAUUACUGGGCUUAAAGGGCGCGUAGGCGGUGGUGUAAGUCUAGGGUGGAAUGCUACAGCUCAACUGUAGAGCUGCCUUGGAAACUGCGUUACUUGAGUCGGUGAGGGGAAGGUGGAAUUCCAGGU